rnacentral:sRNA from 1 species
GUUUUUCUGUUUUUUUU